ensembl:lncRNA TEKT4P2 tektin 4 pseudogene 2
CGGCGGUCGUGUAGCUGAGCAGGCCUGGGGCUUGGUUCUAUGUCCCUGUAGUGUCCUCUGGGUGUUUCCAAGAGCAACAAGAAACGAAUAAAUCUCUGAGAGGUGCCCAGUGAAUGCAGGUUCCAGACAAAAGGUGGAGCCUGGCAUCCUGCCCUGCAUGGGCUCCAGCCUGCUGCCAUCUGGGGAAACUGAGUCAUGGCGAGGCUCAAGGAUGUUUCUCAGACCACACCAGUCCCUGAAGGUCCGCUGACCUCCCAAUCUUGACGGACAGUGAGAAGAGGUUCCCAGGCCACCUGCAAUAGGUUCUGGCUCGGCCUGGGUUGGGCCCCGCAGCGCCUCCACCCCAGAGACCCGGACCAAGUUCACACAGGACAAUCUGUGCCACGCCCAGCGCGAGCGCCUGGACUCGGCCAACCUGUGGGUGCUGGUGGACUGCAUCCUUCGCGACACCUCCGAGGACCUGGGACUCCAGUGUGACGCCGUGAACCUGGCCUUCGGGCGCCGCUGUGAGGAACUGGAGGACGCGCGGCACAAGCUGCAGCACCACCUGCACAAGAUGCUGCGGGAAAUCACAGAUCAGGAACACAACGUGGUGGCACUGAAGGAGGCCAUCAAGGACAAGGAGGAACCUCUGCACAUAGCCCAGACCCGGCUGUAGUUGCUCUCACACCGGCCCAACAUGCAGCUGUGCCGCGAUGCAGCCCAGUUCAGCCCCAGCUCACACCCCCCAACACCCCCAAGCUGGUGAGUGAGGUGGAGGAGCUGUACAAGUCCAUCACAGCGCUGCGGGAGAAGCUUCUACAAGCGGAGCAGUCCCUGCGCAACCUCAAGGACAUCCACAUGAGCCUGGAGAAGGACGUCACUGCCAUGACCAACAGUCUCUUCAUCGACCGCCAGAAGUGCAUGGCCCAUCGUACUUGCUACCCCACCAUUCUGCAGCUGGCUGGCUACCAGUGAGCAGCGGCACGGUGCUUCCCCCCAAUCCCCCAAAUAAACAGUGCGUUAG